rnacentral:lncRNA from 1 species
CUCUCUCCGCCCUCGCAGGACGACUACCGCAAGCUGCUGACCAAGUACGCCGCGGCCGAGAACACCAUCGACCAGCUGCGGCUGGGCGCCAAGGUGAGCCUGUACGCCGACCUGCCGAAGCCCAGCCACAGCGUCCACAUGGGGACCGUGGGGACYGGCUCCAAGGUCAUGGCCUUCAGCAUCCCACAGGCGAGGGCGGCGGCGAUCAGCGCUGCCCCUGCCCCAGCCCUGCGGCCCUCUCUGGAUGGAGAGCCAGCACAAGGAGCAGCCAGCCAGGGGAUGUCACCUCAGCCUCGUUUUCCUCCUUUGCCCGGUGCGGGCUGCUCUGCAUGCCCAGGAGAGUGCAGGUGCCCAGGGCAGCACCCAUGCCYGGGAACCCAGCUCACGCGGACACUGGCGGGACAAACCCGCAAGUUUCAGGCUCAGGUGGAGUCCUUCGAAGCCUGGGUCCAGGCGGGAAAGUCCACACCACAGGAGCAGCUCCAGAGAUUUAGGAAGCUGRAGGACACUCAGGACGUGCUGGAGCGAGCAUAUCUGCAAGCCCGGGAGGAGAACCGCAGGCUGCAACAGCACCGGGGAGCCUCAGGGGAGUUUGAUCCAGACCGCACGGUGGAAGGGG